rnacentral:rRNA from 1 species
UACGUAGGGAGCAAGCGUUGUCCGGAAUCAUUGGGCGUAAAGCGCGCGUAGGUGGCCCCGUAAGUCCGCUGUGAAAGUCAAAGGCUCAACCUUUGAAAGCCGGUGGAUACUGUGGGACUAGAGUACGGAAGAGGCGAGUGGAAUUCCUGGUGUAGCGGUGGAAUGCGCAGAUAUCAGGAGGAACACCAAUGGCGAAGGCAGCUCGCUGGGACGGUACUGACGCUGAGGCGCGAAAGCGUGGGGAGCAAACAGG